GACGAACGCUGGCGGCGUGCUUAACACAUGCAAGUCGAACGGAAAGGCCCUGCUUUUGUGGGGUGCUCGAUUGGCGAACGGGUGAGUAACACGUGAGUAACCUGCCCUUGACUUUGGGAUAACUUCAGGAAAAUGGGGCUAAUACCGGAUAGGAGCUCCUGCUGCAUGGUGGGGGUUGGAGAAGUUCGGCGGUUGGGGAUGGAAUCGCGGCUUAUCAGCUUGUUGGUGGGGUAGUGGCUUACCAAGGCUUUGACGGGUAGCCGGCCUGAGAGGGUGAACGGGCACAUUGGGACUGAGAUACGGCCCAGACUCCAACGGGAGGCAGCAGUGGGGAAUAUUGCACAAUGGGCGGAAGCCUGAUGCAGCAACGCCGCGUGCGGGAUGACGGCCUACGGGUUGUAAACCGCUUUCGCAUGUGACGAAGCGUGAGUGACGGUAAUGGGUAAAGAAGCACCGGCUAACUACGUG
rnacentral:rRNA from 1 species